UCCAAAAAAAAUGUUUAGGGCGAAACUAAACACUUAUUAAAACUAAAGAGUCUUAAUGCUCUAUAGGUUUAUUACUUCUUACUCUGUCACCCCAAGGGCUCUGACCAGUAAAAUGCAGCGCCGGCAAGAAACCGAUCGCCACCGCAGCGUAGUGGUGGAACUACCACUCGACUGCGACGGCGCAUUCGAUCUGGAAAAAUCAGUAUGUAGCCACGGCUUAUUCAUGAUGGCUCCAAACCACUGGGACCCACUCUCCAAAACCCUAGAACGUCCGUUACGCCUAUCCGACAACGACGAUCUAAUCUCUUCUCGUCCGAAUAUAUCAACCCUCCGAUUCUCCUCAUUUACUCCUUCUACGUGUUUUCGGUACCGAUUCUCUUUCUGUUGUACACCAACGCUCUUUGCUGGGUCAAGUGAGGCGAAUGCUGAGAUUAUCGGUGGAAGAGAACAAAAGAGUGAAAGAGGUUCAGGAUAUUUGUGAAGAAGCAAAGGAGAGUGGAUUUGGGAGAGUGUUUAGAUCGCCGACAUUGUUUGAGGACAUGGUCAAGUGUAUGCUGCUCUGCAAUUGCCAGUGGUCAAGGACGUUGAGCAUGGCUGAGUCAUUAUGUGAGUUUCAGUUGGAGCUAAACUGUCCCUCGUCAGCUGCAUGCUUUCCUGUUGCAGAUAACUGAAAUCAGUUCAAGGGCGUAACUGCUGAAUCUGAGCAUUUCACUCCAAAAACACUAGCAGGAAAAGAAUCAAGGAAAAGAGCUGGAGCUUAUGGACGUUCCAGAAACUUGUUGGAGAGGCUUACAGAGGUCGAAGAAAUUUUCAUAGAUGAAGAGAAAUCGGAUGUAAGUGUGAAACCUGCAUUUCCAGAUGGUAAAGAGGUUUUUCUACAAAAAAGGGAUCUUUGUCAGGCUACUACAGAGGUUUGUGAAGUUAGUACAAGUGAAACAUUCAAUUCUGAUCCUUCAGAGGAUAGAGAGCUGAGCUUCAAUAAGCUUGGGAAUUUCCCUAGCCUGAAAGAAUUGGCAGGCCUUGAUGAGAGUUUUCUAGCAAAGCUUUGCGGUCUUGGCUAUAGAGCUGGGCGCAUUAUAAAGCUUGCUAAGGGCAUAGUUGAAGGCAGGAUUCAGCUCAAAAAACUUGAAGAAGCUUGUAGCAACCCAAGCUUGUCCAACUAUGAUAAAAUGGCUGAGCAACUGAGAGAAAUAGAUGGAUUUGGCCCUUUUACCUGUGCUAAUGUACUGGUAUGCUUUGGUUAGGCAUCUAAAACAGGUUCAUGCAAAAACCUCCACCACGAUUAAGACAGUUCAAACAGAUGUUGAAUGAAUUGGUGGGAAGUAUGAACCAUUUCAGUUCUUGGCAUAUUGGUCAGAAGUGUGGGACUUUUAUCAUGAAUGGUUUUGGUAAGUUACGCGAGAUGCCUCACUCUCAAUAUAAACUUAUUACUGCCGCAAAUAUGAGACCGAAAAGAAAUGUCAAAUGCAAGAAGUUGAAGUAAUCUCGGGGUAGAAGCUUGGCAUGUAACAUAAAAGGGAAAUGCUGAGAAGCUUGGCAUGUAACUUAAGAGUUCAGGCAUAAAUGGUUAAUGCUGAAUUUGCCUUUUAUUGAGAUUCAUUUUUUGUUCUGCACAUGAAUUAGUCUUUCAAUCUUCUAUAAAUUUAUCUAGCAACUGUUUCCUGCU